UACGAAGGGGGCUAGCGUUGCUCGGAAUCACUGGGCGUAAAGCGCACGUAGGCGGAUUGUUAAGUCAGGGGUGAAAUCCUGGAGCUCAACUCCAGAACUGCCUUUGAUACUGGCGAUCUUGAGUCCGGGAGAGGUGAGUGGAACUCCGAGUGUAGAGGUGAAAUUCGUAGAUAUUCGCAAGAACACCGGUGGCGAAGGCGGCCAACUGGACGAAUACUGACGCUGAGACACGAAAGCGUGGGGAGCAAACAGG
rnacentral:rRNA from 1 species